rnacentral:lncRNA from 1 species
AGCCCGCUUCUCAUCACGUCUCCUUGGCAACAGGAGACCCGUGUCAGUUCAUCUCUGUUUUCUGUGGGGGUUGUUUUUAUUUUUUUUAUGUUUCUAUUGUGAUAAAGUGCUUAGUUGAUCACUCAGUAGGUCUCCGCUUAACUAGCAAUCGUCAGAACAACAACUGCAGGUUACGGACAACGUUUGGUCGAUAUCUCUCUUUUUCUCUCUAUUCAUUCAAAUGUAAUUAACGCAAUGCAAAAAACGCAUUUAACGAAGUUAAAAUCAAGCAUUCCGGAGAAGAAACAAAAAAAAUGUCUUAAAACAAUAUUUACAACGAACGGCGUGUGUCCUCAUUAUAUCCUCAUGAUGUCUAUUGCUGCCAUAUAGAAUUGAUGUCUAAAUAUUUCUACACGUCAGUCAGCAGCUUGCCCUUAUUCACACAGUUCUGGUUGAGGACAGUAGUACAGUUAGAAGUUCUGAGAUUCGCGUCCCUGAAGUUAUCAAUACUAUUGUUGAUUCCCUCGUCUAUCUCCAUGUAUUCUGACUUGCUGGCGAUAGAGUUGGAGCUGCGACGCGACGAGUUGCUGUCUGAGUUCAGGUCCUGGUUGCUGACGUUAAGAAGCUGCGCUUGCUCUUCUCCCUCCGUCUCCCGGUGAUAGAAAUAGUUAAAAUUGGACACGAUCACGGGCACCGGUAACGCGAUGGUCAACACUCCGGCGAUGGCACAGAGCGAACCCACUAUCUUUCCACCGAUGGUCACCGGGUACAUGUCCCCGUAGCCCACCGUCGUCAUGGAGACCACGGCCCACCAGAAGGCGUCGGGGAUGCUCGUGAAGAAAGAUUCCUUCUCUUCCGCUUCGGCGAAAUAGACAGCGCUGGAGAAGAGGAUGACUCCGAUGAAGAGGAAGAAAAUGAGCAGACCCAAUUCUCUCAUACUUGCUUUGAGUGUUUGUCCUAAUAUCUGAAGCCCCUUGGAGUGUCUGGACAACUUGAAGAUCCUAAACACCCGGACCAGUCGGAUAACCCUGAGGAUGGCCAGAGACGCAGCUUGUUCGCUUGGUUUCUCCUUCCCUUCCUGGUCCUCCGCCAGCUCGGUACCCAGCGUGAUGAAGUAGGGUAUGAUAGCUACUAUGUCUAUAGUAUUCAUCAUGUUUUUAAAGAAAGCUGCCUUACUAGGACAGGCGAAGAACCGUACUAUCAACUCGAAGGAGAACCAGAUAAUACACAGUGUCUCCACUAUAAAGAAAGGAUCUGU